rnacentral:rRNA from 1 species
ACGUAGGUGACCAGCGUUGUCCGGAUUUACUGGGCGUAAAGAGCGCGCAGGCGGUCGUUCAAGUCGAGUGUGAAAGCCCCCGGCUCAACUGGGGAGGGUCAUUCGAUACUGAUCGACUUGAAGGCAGGAGAGGGAAGUGGAAUUCCCGGUGUAGUGGUGAAAUGCGUAGAUAUCGGGAGGAACAUCAGUGGCGAAGGCGACUUCCUGGACCAAUACUGACGCUCAGGUGCGAAAGCGUGGGGAGCAAACAGGA